UACGGAGGGAGCUAGCGUUGUUCGGAAUUACUGGGCGUAAAGGGCUCGUAGGCGGCCAACUAAGUCGGACGUGAAAUCCCUCGGCUUAACCGGGGAACUGCAUCUGAUACUGGAUGGCUUGAGAUUGGGAGAGGGAUGCGGAAUUCCAGGUGUAGCGGUGAAAUGCGUAGAUAUCUGGAGGAACACCGGUGGCGAAGGCGGCAUCCUGGACCAACACUGACGCUGAGGAGCGAAAGCCAGGGGAGCAAACGGG
rnacentral:rRNA from 1 species